rnacentral:rRNA from 1 species
UACGAGGGGGGCGAGCGUUGUUCGGAAUUAUUGGGCGUAAAGGGUGCGUAGGCGGUUUGGUAAGUCUUGUGUGAAAUCUUCGGGCUCAACUCGAAGUCUGCACGAGAAACUGCCGGGCUUGAGUAUGGGAGAGGUGAGUGGAAUUCCCGGUGUAGCGGUGAAAUGCGCAGAUAUCAGGAGGAACACCGGUGGCGAAGGCGGGAUCCUGGGCCAGUACUGACGCUGAGGAGCGAAAGCGUGGGGAGCAAACAGG